rnacentral:rRNA from 1 species
UGGGGAAUUUUGGACAAUGGGCGAAAGCCUGAUCCAGCAAUGCCGCGUGAGUGAAGAAGGCCUUCGGGUUGUAAAGCUCUUUUGUCAGGGAAGAAAUCCUUUGAGCUAAUACCUCGGGGGGAUGACGGUACCUGAAGAAUAAGCACCGGCUAACUACGUGCCAGCAGCCGCGGUAAUACGUAGGGUGCAAGCGUUAAUCGGAAUUACUGGGCAUAAAGCGUGCGCAGGCGGUUAUGCAAGACAGAUGUGAAAUCCCCGGGCUCAACCUGGGAACUGCAUUUGUGACUGCAUAGCUGGAGUGCGGCAGAGGGAGGUGGAAUUCCGCGUGUAGCAGUGAAAUGCGUAGAUAUGCGGAGGAACACCGAUGGCGAAGGCAGCCUCCUGGGCCAGCACUGACGCUCAUGCACGAAAGCGUGGGGAGCAAACA